rnacentral:lncRNA from 1 species
AGGAUUAGGUUAGCUACUCUUGUAUUGCUUGGACUAUUAAUGCAUUGCAUCAACAUUUUAGAAUUAUUUGGUUUAUCAUAAUAUAUUAGCAUAAUUAGCACCUUUAAAUAAUCUAUAAAAUAUCAAUUAGUAAUCGAAUUUGUUUCAUAGAUUAUUAUUUUGCAAAGUGGCUAUUUACAGAAGCUUUAUGUAGAAUGACCUCAGAAAGAGAAAGAAAAAGAACUGGCAAGCCACUGGUUUUCAAUGGAAGUGGGCUAUCAACACAUUUUAAAGAAAUUUAAAGACUCUGAUUUUGAAACAGACUGCAGAGAAUUUCUUAAAGCAGUGAAUACUAAACUUGCUUCUAAACCAAAGGGUUUUCACAUUUCUGUGUUCGUCUCUAUUUCUCAAUGAAUAUGAGUUACAGAUACCACUAGAUGCAAAUCAUCAAGGAUUUUGGAUUGGCUUUAACCUUUGUAGCAGAAGUAUAUCUUUCCACACUUUACAAGAUAAUGAAGUAAGCUAAUAUUUCCAUAUUCUGUAUGAAAAUAAAUGAGCAUGCCUUUGCAUUAUUUUACUGUAUUAGGUAGCAAGCUAAAUUGACUAAAAGAGCAUCAUUUCAACCUCUGACAAUCGAUUACACAAGAUAAAAAAAAAUUAAUUAUGUAUGUUGGAAGUUUUUUCAGUACUGCGGACUUUUGCGUCAUUUCAGAAGUUAUUAAUGUAAGAUUUUUAUUGUAAAAAAUAUUCUAAAGUUCUGCAUAGAGCUGAAGAAACAUAUUUAACCUCCAAUUUUUUUGUGCGACCAUAGAUGUUGCAAUUAAGAAGAUAGUUUCUUCUCAGUGGAAAGAGCACAGGCCUAGGAGUCAGCGGACGUAGGUUCUAAUCCAGGCUCUGCCACUUGUCUGCUGUGAGACCUUGGACAGGUCCUUUAACUUAUCUGUGCCUCAUUUUCUUCAUUUGUAAAAUGGGGAUUCAAGACUUAUUAUGGUGAGCACCACAUGGGACAGAGACUGUGUCCAACCUGAUUGACUUAUAUCUACCCUAGUUCUUUAAACAGUGCUUGACACAGAGUAAAAGUCCAAAAAAUAC